rnacentral:rRNA from 1 species
UACGGAGGGGGCUAGCGUUGUUCGGAAUUACUGGGCGUAAAGCGCACGUAGGCGGAUCAGCCAGUCAGGGGUGAAAUCCCGGGGCUCAACCCCGGAACUGCCUUUGAUACUGCUGGUCUGGAGUUCGGGAGAGGCGAGUGGAAUUCCGAGUGUAGAGGUGAAAUUCGUAGAUAUUCGGAGGAACACCAGUGGCGAAGGCGGCUCGCUGGCCCGAGACUGACGCUGAGGUGCGAAAGCGUGGGGAGCAAACAGG